GGCCCUAUCGUCUAGUGGUUUAGGACGCCGCCCUCUCACGGCGGUAACAUGGGUUCGAAUCCCAUUAGGGUCACCA
rnacentral:tRNA from 3 species